AGCAGCCGCGGUAAUUCCAGCUUCAAUAGCGUAUAUUAAAGUUGUUGCAGUUAAAAAGCUCGUAGUUGAAUUUCGGGGUUAGUAGGUUGGUCAUGCCUCCGGUAUGUACUGGUCUCACUGAUUCCUCCUUCCUGAUGAACCGUAAUGCCAUUAAUUUGGUGUUGCGGGGAAUUUGGACUGUUACUUUGAAAAAAUUAGAGUGUUUAAAGCAAGCUAACGCUUGAAUACAUUAGCAUGGAAUAAUGAAAUAGGACGUUCGAUCCUAUUUUGUUGGUUUCUAGGAUUGACGUAAUGAUUAAUAGGGAUAGUUGGGGGCAUUAGUAUUCAAUUGUCAGAGGUGAAAUUCUUGGAUUUAUUGAAGACUAACUACUGCGAAAGCAUUUGCCAAGGAUGUUUUCAUUAAUCAAGACGAAAGUUAGGGGAUCGAAGACGAUCAGAUACCGUCGUAGUCUUAACCAUAAACCUAUGCCGACUAGGGAUCGGAUGAUGUUAAUUUUUAAUGUACUUCAUUCGGCGCCUU
rnacentral:rRNA from 1 species